UGGGGAAUUUUGGACAAUGGGGGCAACCCUGAUCCAGCAAUGCCGCGUGAGUGAAGAAGGCCUUCGGGUUGUAAAGCUCUUUUGUCCGGAACGAAACGACUUGGGAUAAUACCCUGGGUUAAUGACGGUACCGGAAGAAUAAGCACCGGCUAACUACGUGCCAGCAGCCGCGGUAAUACGUAGGGUGCGAGCGUUAAUCGGAAUUACUGGGCGUAAAGCGUGCGCAGGCGGUUGUGCAAGACAGAUGUGAAAUCCCCGGGCUUAACCUGGGAAUGGCAUUUGUGACUGCACGGCUAGAGUGUGUCAGAGGGGGGUAGAAUUCCACGUGUAGCAGUGAAAUGCGUAGAUAUGUGGAGGAAUACCGAUGGCGAAGGCAGCCCCCUGGGAUAACACUGACGCUCAUGCACGAAAGCGUGGGGAGCAAACAGGAUUAGAUACCCCCGUAGUCC
rnacentral:rRNA from 1 species